GAUCCAGCAAUGCCGCGUGUGUGAAGAAGGCCUUCGGGUUGUAAAGCACUUUUGUCCGGAAAGAAAACCUCCGUCCUAAUACGAUGGGGGGAUGACGGUACCGGAAGAAUAAGCACCGGCUAACUACGUGCCAGCAGCCGCGGUAAUACGUAGGGUGCAAGCGUUAAUCGGAAUUACUGGGCGUAAAGCGUGCGCAGGCGGUUCGCUAAGACCGAUGUGAAAUCCCCGGGCUUAACCUGGGAACUGCAUUGGUGACUGGCGGGCUAGAGUAUGGCAGAGGGGGGUAGAAUUCCACGUGUAGCAGUGAAAUGCGUAGAGAUGUGGAGGAAUACCGAUGGCGAAGGCAGCCCCCUGGGCCAAUACUGACGCUCAUGCACGAAAGCGUGGGGAGCAAACAGGAUUAGAUACCCUGGUAGUCCACGCCCUAAACGAUGUCAAAUAGUUGUCGGGUCUUCAUUGACUUGGUAACGAAGCUAACGCGUGAAGUGAC
rnacentral:rRNA from 1 species